rnacentral:rRNA from 1 species
UACGUAGGGGGCAAGCGUUGUCCGGAUUUAUUGGGCGUAAAGAGCGUGUAGGCGGCUUGGUAGGUCCGCUGUGAAAACUCGAGGCUCAACCUCGAGAUGUCGGCGGAAACCACUUGGCUAGAGUCCGGAAGAGGAGAGUGGAAUUCCCGGUGUAGCGGUGAAAUGACGCAGAUAUCAGGAGGAACACCUAUUGCGAAGGCAGCUGGCUACACGAAUAUUGACACUGAUGCACGAAAGCGUGGGGAUCAAACAGG